GAUUUGGAGGUGAGAGAAAGGGCAGUGUCGAGAGUGACACCUACAUAUCACCCAUCUCCUGCCCAGGAUGGGUGGGAGUGGAGGAGUGCUGACGGACUGAGUUUCGAGCACGCUAAUGAUGAGCCUCACCCCACCCCUUCCUUGGAGGUCUGAAGUUCUGAGUCCCAGCUCCCUGAGGGCCCUUCUCCAAGCUUCUGAGGCACCAACACCAGCUGAGCAACCUCCCCUCCAUCUGCUCCUCCUCCAAGCUUCUAGGUUGCGACAACCCCACUCUCUUCCUUCCGUUCCCACAGCCGUAGGAAGCAGCCCGCCCGGUGGGACCCAAGUCCAGCUCCUGGCUAGGGCGUCCCAAGGGAAGCAGGACCAUCAGGCAGGAGGAGCCCAUGCUGGGAGCAGAAGGACGGGCCCUCGGACAGCUCGCUCAACCACUCUGACCGGCAGUUUUUUUCUCUACAAAAGGCGCCCAGCUAGAGCCUGAUAUAAUUGAGGGCUAAAUGAGGAACUUGUAGCUUGGAUUGGAGAAUGAAUUGCCCGGGGCCCAGAGUGCCACCUGAUGGAAAGCACAGGCCAUGAAGAACAGGAAGACACACAGCAGAGGGGUCUACCCUUUGGAGAUAGUCAUCCUACCUGACCCAUGGGCACAUCCAGAGGCCAGUGCAAUGUCAUCCAGCUCCUGUCCAGUCCAAGAGCUCCAUCCUUGCCACCUGAGGAGCAAGCAACACCCUUCACUUUUUGAUGUGGGUACUAAACUCUUGUCUCAAAGGCUAAUGCAAUUUGCAAACCGAUCUGGAUGAAGGUCUCGGGUGUGAAAUCAUGAUUUUCCAUGCCACCCCCUGCUGUUUGUGUCAUGUGCGCCGGGAAA